rnacentral:misc_RNA from 1 species
AAAAGAUCCAUAUAGCCAAUCCUAACUAGUUUGGGAUUAUAGUUAUUGUUGUUUUAACUCAAUACUCAUAACAUUUUAAAGAUCAUUUCCAACAAAAAUCAUUUAAAUCAAACCUCUAUAACUAUAUAUAUAUAUAUUUAUAAGGAGAUUGGGGGAGUAGGGACUUGAACCUAAUAUCUGUCAAGUGAGUGAUAUGCUUUUGUCCAUUGGAACAAACCAAGCUAGGCCUAUAAUCAUACUCUUUAAUACAAAUAUAAUAACAAUAUUUCUCAAUUUCAUAAUUUGGCAACAUAUGUUCAAAUAUAUAUAUAUAUUUCAAUCCAACCAUCAGAUCAUUCUCAAAUUUUUACCAUAUAGAAAAGACUUACAAAUAUUAACAAAAAAUAACCAUUAAAUAUAUCACAAAAAAAACUUACCCAUUUGGUUGAAACAAUAGCGGUCCAUUUGCGUCUUCUUCUUCUUCUUUCUCUUUACUCCUUCUGAUCUUCCUCUCUUCAUUCUCCUUCACACCGAAUAUCAAGUUGAUAAAGUUGCCCCUAUCAAUAUUUUUGUUUAUAAAAUUACCAUUUGGUCCUUCAAACUUUGAAAACUCUACUUUUGUACUCCAAAACUUUAUUACUCUUAAGUCCUAAGCAAUUUUACAUUUCUCCACAAAAAUUUCAUUUUCUUCCCUAAUUAUUUACAUCUUGAUUUUUCAAUCAUUUUCAGAGUUUGGGGUAUUACAAUGGUUGAAUUUGAAGUUAGUUUGGAUGUCUAUUUGGUGUAGCUGUGGUGACGUAGUUGAGGCUAGGUAAGGAGAGGGGCAUUAGAAAACCGAAUUUGGGUAGGUUUGGAGAAAGAGUGGGAAGUCGAGGAAAAGGGUGGUGCAACAGCAAACUAAUUAAGGGAGGAAUAGAGUAGAGCAAGGGAGGAAUUUUUAUUUUCUUUUGUGGUUGUGGGGGUGGGUAGUGUGGUGCUGUAGGUGUUGGGGGUUCCGGGUGGGGAGGUUGAAUAGACAAAUGCAGAGGAGAGGGGAAAGAGGAGGCAGGGUGUGAAUGAGGAUAUUAAAGUAUUUUCAUUUGUGAUUAAUGGAAAAAUAAAUAAAAUUUGGACUGAAGGACCUUAUUGUUAACCAAAGCAAUAUAAGGACAAACUAAUGUAAUUUUCAAAAAUUGAAAGAUUGAAUUGUAAAUAAUGACAAACCCUAAGAAUUAAAUAGUAAUUUCUCUAAUAUUUUUCUAUAUUUUAUUCCAUUUGUUUUUAUGGUGGUAUCGUACUUGUUGAAAAAUUUGCUUUGUUGUGAUCAUUUGGUGGAAAUCUCUAAGAAUUAGUCUCUUAACAUAAAUAGG